AUUGAACGCUGGCGGCAGGCCUAACACAUGCAAGUCGAGCGGAUGAAGGGAGCUUGCUCCUGGAUUCAGCGGCGGACGGGUGAGUAAUGCCUAGGAAUCUGCCUGGUAGUGGGGGAUAACGUCCGGAAACGGGCGCUAAUACCGCAUACGUCCUGAUGGAGAAAGUGGGGGAUCUUCGGACCUCACGCUAUCAGAUGAGCCUAGGUCGGAUUAGCUAGUUGGUGGGGUAAAGGCCUACCAAGGCGACGAUCCGUAACUGGUCUGAGAGGAUGAUCAGUCACACUGGAACUGAGACACGGUCCAGACUCCUACGGGAGGCAGCAGUGGGGAAUAUUGGACAAUGGGCGAAAGCCUGAUCCAGCCAUGCCGCGUGUGUGAAGAAGGUCUUCGGAUUGUAAAGCACUUUAAGUUGGGAGGAAGGGCAGUAAGUUAAUACCUUGCUGUUUUGACGUUACCAACAGAAUAAGCACCGGCUAACUUCGU
rnacentral:rRNA from 1 species